ACAUGCAUCAAAAAUACAAACAAUGAUGUCUGCUCAAAAAACAAUAUCACAUGCAAAUGGUGUGACAACUGAGAACAUUUUGGGAGGGACUUGUAACCACAUGAGCAGAAGUGUGAAAAGUAAAGGCAGUGGUACACACUUCCUUAAAACAUAACACACACACACACUGAAACCAAUACCAGUAUUUUUGAUUGUUCAGAUUUGCCUUUUUAUACUUCAAAUAAUAUUUGAGCUAGUUUUUGGUUCCAGAUACAAUGCUGUUCAAAAGUGUGGGGCACAUUCACUCUCGUGGUGAGGUGCUGGAUGAAGACGUCCUGUAAGGCAUGGUCUCUGGAGUGGUCCGCGUGCUGAAGGAAGCUGAUGAGAGAGUGGCAGAGCCGCGGCUGCUGGCGGGUUAAAAGAGAACGGAGGCAGGAUAGAACAGCAGCACUCAGUGGAGGAGUAGAAUCACCUGGAAUCUUUCCCUUUACUUCCUCAGAGUACAGGAAGGCUUCAUGCAGCUCCUAUGGAAGAUAUAGAAGUGGAUAAACAAAAUGCACUGUUUUGGAAGUUAAAGAUGGCAUGAAAUGAAAAUUGUGAUUGUCUUUUCUUCCCUAUUGUGAUGUAUAACUGAGUGAAACGGCUUUUUUUCCCCCUUUGUAAUCCGCUGUAACAGUAUGAAAAAGAUAACAUAUACUGCGCAUUUGUGGUCUGCGAUAUAUAUCCCAUGAAUAAAUCACUGGAAUGCACUAAGAA